rnacentral:rRNA from 1 species
GACGAACGCUGGCGGCGUGCUUAACACAUGCAAGUCGAACGAAGUGGCGAACGGGUGAGUAACGCGUCAUCAACCUGCCCUUCAGAGGGGGACAACAGUUGGAAAAGACUGCUAAUACCGCAUACUGAAGGAGGGGAUUGCGUCUGAUUAGCUAGUGGGAGGGGUAACGGCCCACCAAGGCGAUGAUCAGUAGCCGGUUUGGGAGGAUGAACGGCCACAUUGGGAGUGAGACACGGACCAGACUCCUACGGGAGGCAGCAGUGGGGAAUCUUCCGCAAUGGACGAAAGUCUGACGGAGCGACGCCGCGGUAAUAC